GCAGUACAAAUAUUCCGUUUAUGCCUGACAUUUUAAAAGACAAACAGAAUGUAAAUCAUAU
rnacentral:sRNA from 1 species